rnacentral:rRNA from 1 species
GACGAACGCUGUCGGCGUGCUUAACACAUGCAAGUCGAACGGAAAGGCCCUGCUUUUGUGGGGUGCUCGAGUGGCGAACGGGUGAGUAACACGUGAGUAACCUGCCCUUGACUUUGGGAUAACUUCAGGAAACUGGGGCUAAUACCGGAUAGGAGCUCCUGCUGCAUGGUGGGGGUUGGAAAGUUUCGGCGGUUGGGGAUGGACUCGCGGCUUAUCAGCUUGUUGGUGGGGUAGUGGCUUACCAAGGCUUUGACGGGUAGCCGGCCUGAGAGGGUGACCGGCCACAUUGGGACUGAGAUACGGCCCAGACUCCUACGGGAGGCAGCAGUGGGGAAUAUUGCACAAUGGGCGGAAGCCUGAUGCAGCAACGCCGCGUGCGGGAUGACGGCCUUCGGGUUGUAAACCGCUUUCGCCUGUGACGAAGCGUGAGUGACGGUAAUGGGUAAAGAAGCACCGGCUAACUACGUGCCAGCAGCCGCGGUGAUACGUAGGGUGCGAGCGUUGUCCGGAUUUAUUGGGCGUAAAGGGCUCGUAGGUGGUUGAUCGCGUCGGAAGUGUAAUCUUGGGGCUUAACCCUGAGCGUGCUUUCGAUACGGGUUGACUUGAGGAAGGUAGGGGAGAAUGGAAUUCCUGGUGGAGCGGUGGAAUGCGCAGAUAUCAGGAGGAACACCAGUGGCGAAGGCGGUUCUCUGGGCCUUUCCUGACGCUGAGGAGCGAAAGCGUGGGGAGCGAACAGGCUUAGAUACCCUGGUAGUCCACGCUGUAAACGGUGGGUACUAGGUGUGGGGUCCAUUCCACGGGUUCCGUGCCGUAGCUAACGCUUUAAGUACCCCGCCUGGGGAGUACGGCCGCAAGGCUAAAACUCAAAGGAAUUGACGGGGCCCCGCACAAGCGGCGGAGCAUGCGGAUUAAUUCGAUGCAACGCGUAGAACCUUACCUGGGUUUGACAUGGAUCGGGAGUGCUCAGAGAUGGGUGUGCCUCUUUUGGGGUCGGUUCACAGGUGGUGCAUGGCUGUCGUCAGCUCGUGUCGUGAGAUGUUGGGUUAAGUCCCGCAACGAGCGCAACCCUUGUUCACUGUUGCCAGCACGUUAUGGUGGGGACUCAGUGGAGACCGCCGGGGUCAACUCGGAGGAAGGUGGGGAUGACGUCAAGUCAUCAUGCCCCUUAUGUCCAGGGCUUCACGCAUGCUACAAUGGCUGGUACAGAGAGUGGCGAGCCUGUGAGGGUGAGCGAAUCCCGGAAAGCCGGUCUCAGUUCGGAUUGGGGUCUGCAACUCGACCUCAUGAAGUCGGAGUCGCUAGUAAUCGCAGAUCAGCAACGCUGCGGUGAAUACGUUCCCGGGGCU